rnacentral:lncRNA from 1 species
GUUAAAAAUUCAUAUUCAAAAAUCUCAAGUAUAUCCUGCCUCUUCCUCAAGGGUGUUUUCCAUAUUUAUUUGCUAAGAAGUAGUAUUCAUAAACUAACUAUUUCAGAACCUAUUAUACCAUAACUACAAUGAGAUGUACUAUUCAGGAAUAAGGAUAGAAAUCGACCGAAUGGACUUUAAAAUUCUUUCUGAAAAAAUAUAUGAACAUAUUAAUAUCUCAAAUCUCCAGACGGAACUUUAUCACAUACUUUACCAACUUUAUCAUCAAGCAUUCUAGGAUAAUUCUGAUUUUAAAAUUAAUUAUAAUAUUUAUAAUGUCUAGAUUAGCUAUUCCCCAAUGUGAUCACCAGAAAAUUUUAGUGCGGCCACAAAAAAAUAAUUUAAUAUGUAAGUUGAAUUCAAAAUUUAAGGAAAAUGGAUAUAAAUACAUUAAUUUCUUAUUUAUUGCAUUUAUAUAAAUAUACAAUUUAAAAUAAAUUAACAGAACUUAUCAGAAAAACGUCCUUAGAAUAGCGUGAUCAUACUUUUAAUAAUUGAAAUCAAUAAAAUUUUUUAUUUUAUUAAAAUUUUUUCAAAUAAAAAUCGAGUGUUUAUAUAAAUUCUUACUUUUGCAUACUAUAAAGACAAUAAUAAAAUAAAAUAAUAAAUAAAAUAAUAAAAUUAAAAAAAUUAUAAAUUUUUAUCACACUAAGGGAAGUCAGUCAGAUUUUGAUGGUUGCAUUCACAGAAAAAUUUCUCUUGAGAAACGCUAGUCUAGACCCAAUUUUCCUAUAAAAAAGAUGUACUUCCACCCAAUUCAAUUAAUAUUUAUAAGAAGCUUGCACAUCAGGAUUCCUUUAACAGGUUGACAGUGUUUAUGUAUUCUACAAAGGUAAAUGCUAGAAAUAUUUUAUAAAUAAAUUACAUAAUAUUAAUCAGAACGAUAAUUCAAAAUGAUAUGAAACAUCAUAAAAUACUACAUAUAGUAUAUGAUUUUAUAUCUAUGAAUAUGUGAAUACAAACAUCAUUAGCGCUUUUUGAAUAUAGAGCGUACAAUUGUUAUUUUUGCAUGCCAAUUAGAUAAUUCUCAGUUUACUCUCAAUUCGCAUUCCACUAAUGACAGAAUGGUUUCGUCAUUCAAGUGUAUCUUUUUUUUUUUUGUCAAUUGCUUUGGUGUAAAAUAUCUAUCCUUCUACUUAUGACAGAGACAGUUGCCAAAAGUUCAAGGUUUUAGGAUAUAAGACGCGGUGUGCUGACCUUCAGUGAAAUGGAAAGAAGCCAAUCUAUGUCGAAAUGAAUGUUUUUAUUUAUUUACUAUAUAAUACACAAUCCAUAAAUAAAUAAAAGAUAUUUCGUAAUUGUUUUAUUUCAAAUAUUCCAGAAGUUUUAAUUUUUAUUCGAAUCGAGUUCAUAUUUUGAUAAAUUUGUAAACUUUACAAUUCAUGUAAACUACAUUUUGAAAAUUAAGCUAUAAAAAUUAAUUCUUAAGGAAGAGGAUAAUAAAAUUUAACGAUUUCUCAAUAACAGGUCUAUGAUACUACAAUUAUAAAUAUGAGACUAUCAUGAAGUGCGUUUUUUUCUUUUUACUAGUUUGUAUAUAAAGUCUCAUAAAAAAAAGUAUUUCACUUAUUAAUAUGAUCUCUUAAUUAAUAUUAAAAAUCUGAAUUAAUUUAUAUUUCUUAGAAAAAAUAUCGGAAAGAGGUCAUAAAUAAUGUUAACAAACAGGAAGUGGUAAAGAGUUAAUGAAGUUUCAAAGAAACUGCCAUAUAGGAUGAUAGAAUCUAGUCGAAUCCGUAACGUUUUAAUGGAUAGAACAUGUGUUUGCGGUUUAAAUACUUUUACACAGAAAUAUUUAUUUAGUCUACCUCGAAAACUGUUCACAAAAAGUUUAUUCAUUUUAUAAAAGAAGUCUAUUUAUAACCAAAGAUAUUUAUUCAACAAACGACUAUGUUGCUUCUUGUUAAAUGUCCUCAAAGUACGUGAUAAGCAAAUACUAUAGGUUUACUGUUUACUUUAAGAGUUUUGGUUUUCUCUCUUAUCUUUUGCUGUUUUAGUAUCAGAGAAUUUAUUUUGGGAAAAUCUUCGUUGAUAAACAUUCUGAUCGAGUUAAUCGUAUACUUGGAGAUAAAAAUAGAUCAUAAUGGCUACACAUUCAAGAAACAGAAACUCCGCUUAUGGACGUUAUAGGAC